rnacentral:rRNA from 1 species
CAAUAGCGUAUAUUAAAGUUGUUGCGGUUAAAAAGCUCGUAGUUGGAUUUCUGGUAGGAGUGACCGUUCCGAACUUGAUUGUUCGUGUAUUGUGUUUUCUUCAGCCAUCCUUGUGGAGAACUUUUCUUGCAUUAAUUUGUAGGGAUUGGGACCCGCAUCGUUUACUGUGAAAAAAUUAGAGUGUUUAAAGCAGGCAAUCGCUUGAAUACAUUAGCAUGGAAUAAUAAGAUAGGACUUUGGUACUAUUUUGUUGGUUUGCAUACCAAAUUAAUGAUCAACAGGAACAGUUUGAGGAUAUUCGUAUGAACAUGUCAGAGGUGAAAUUCUUGGAUUUUGAUCAGACGAACUACUGCGAAAGCAUUUAUCAAGGAUGUUUUCAUUAA